rnacentral:rRNA from 1 species
UGGGGAAUAUUGCGCAAUGGGCGAAAGCCUGACGCAGCGACGCAGCGUGAGGGACGACGGCCUUCGGGUUGUAAACCUCUUUCAGCGGGGACGAAGCGAAAGUGACGGUACCCGCAGAAGAAGCACCGGCUAACUACGUGCCAGCAGCCGCGGUAAUACGUAGGGUGCAAGCAUUGUCCGGAUUUAUUGGGCGUAAAGAGCUCGUAGGCGGCUUGUCACGUCGGGUGUGAAAACUCGGGGCUUAACCCCGAGCCUGCACUCGAUACGGGCUAGCUAGAGUGUUGCAGGGGAGACUGGAAUUCCUGGUGUAGCGGUGAAAUGCGCAGAUAUCAGGAGGAACACCGGUGGCGAAGGCGGGUCUCUGGGCAACUACUGACGCUGAGGAGCGAAAGCGUGGGGAGCGAACAGG